rnacentral:rRNA from 1 species
UGGGGAAUAUUGCACAAUGGGGGAAACCCUGAUGCAGCGACGCCGCGUGAGCGAAGAAGUAUUUCGGUAUGUAAAGCUCUAUCAGCAGGGAAGAAAAUGACGGUACCUGACUAAGAAGCCCCGGCUAACUACGUGCCAGCAGCCGCGGUAAUACGUGGGGGGCAAGCGUUAUCCGGAUUUACUGGGUGUAAAGGGAGCGUAGACGGCGAUGCAAGUCUGAAGUGAAAUACCCGGGCUCAACCUGGGAACUGCUUUGGAAACUGUAUGGCUAGAGUGCUGGAGAGGUAAGCGGAAUUCCUAGUGUAGCGGUGAAAUGCGUAGAUAUUGGGAGGAACACCAGUGGCGAAGGCGGCUUACUGGACAUUAACUGACGCUGAGGCGCGAAAGUGUGGGGAGCAAACAGGAUUAGAUACCCUGGUAGU